rnacentral:rRNA from 1 species
ACUCAAAUGAAUAGACGGGGACUCGCACAAGCGGUGGAACAUGUGGUUUAAUUCGAUGCUACGCGAAAAACCUUACCAGGCCUUGACAUGGUGGUCAUACUGUGAGGAGACUCACGGGUCGGUUCGGCCGGACCAUCACAGGUGUUGCAUGGCUGUCGUCAGCUCGUGUCGUGAGAUGUUGGGUUAAGUCCCGCAACGAGCGCAACCCUCAUCCUUAGUUACCAACAGGUAAUGCUGGGCACUUUAAGGAAACUGCCGGUGAUAAGCCGGAGGAAGGUGGGGAUGAUGUCAAGUCAGCAUGGCCCUUACGGCCUGGGCUACACACGUGUUACAAUGGUAGUGACAAAGAGCAGCUAAUGGGUGACCUAGAGCAAAUCUCAAAAAACUACCUCAGUACGGAUUGUACCCUGCAACUCGGGUGCAUGAAGUCGGAAUCGCUAGUAAUCGCGGAUCAGCACGCCGCGGUGAAUACGUUCUCGGGUCUUGUACACACCGCCCGU